UACGGAGGAUCCGAGCGUUAUCCGGAUUUAUUGGGUUUAAAGGGUGCGCAGGCGGGAAAUUAAGUCGGCGGUGAAAUUUUGCGGCUCAACCGUAAAAGUGCCUUCGAAACUGGUUUCCUUGAGUGUAGAUGAAGUAGGCGGAAUUUGUGGUGUAGCGGUGAAAUGCUUAGAUAUCACGAGGAACUCCGAUUGCGCAGGCAGCUUACUAAACUACUACUGACGCUCAGGCACGAAGGCGUGGGGAUCAAACAGGAUUAGAUACCCUGGUAGUCCCUGAG
rnacentral:rRNA from 1 species